UACGGAGGGUGCGAGCGUUGUCCGGAAUCACUGGGCGUAAAGGGCGCGUAGGCGGCUCGGUAAGUAGGGGGUGAAAUCCUGCGGCUUAACCGCAGGGCUGCCUUCUAAACUGUCGAGCUCGAGCACGGUAGAGGCAGAUGGAAUUCCCGGUGUAGCGGUGGAAUGCGUAGAGAUCGGGAAGAACAUCAGUGGCGAAGGCGGUCUGCUGGGCCGUUGCUGACACUGAGACACGAAGGCCAGGGGAGCAAACGGG
rnacentral:rRNA from 1 species